rnacentral:rRNA from 1 species
CGGACGGGUGAGUAACGCGUGGAGAACCUGCCGUAUACUGGGGGAUAACACUUAGAAAUAGGUGCUAAUACCGCAUAAGCGCACAGCUUCGCAUGAAGCAGUGUGAAAAACUCCGGUGGUAUACGAUGGAUCCGCGUCUGAUUAGCUGGUUGGCGGGGUAAAGGCCCACCAAGGCGGCGAUCAGUAGCCGGCCUGAGAGGGUGGACGGCCACAUUGGGACUGAGACACGGCCCAAACUCCUACGGAAGGCAGCAG